AGAUUGAACGCUGGCGGCAUGCCUAACACAUGCAAGUCGAACGGGAGUAGCAAUACUCUAGUGGCGGACGGGUGAGGAAUACGUAGGAAUUUGCCCUUAAGUGGGGGAUAACCCGGGGAAACCCGGAUUAAUACCGCAUGACCUCGAAGGAGCAAAGUGGGGGAUCGCAAGACCUCACGCUUUUGGAGAAGCCUACGUCGGAUUAGCUAGUUGGUGAGGUAAUGGCUCACCAAGGCGACGAUCCGUAACUGGUCUGAGAGGAUGAUCAGUCACACCGGAACUGAGACACGGUCCGGACUCCGUACGGGAGGCAGCAGUGGGGAAUACGUGGACAAGU
rnacentral:rRNA from 1 species